rnacentral:rRNA from 1 species
AUUGAACGCUGGCGGCAUGCCUUACACAUGCAAGUCGAACGGCAGCGGGGGAGAAGCUUGCUUUUCCUGCCGGCGAGUGGCGAACGGGUGAGUAAUACAUCGGAACGUGCCCUGUAGUGGGGGAUAACUAGUCGAAAGAUUAGCUAAUACCGCAUACGACCUGAGGGUGAAAGUGGGGGACCGCAAGGCCUCAUGCUAUAGGAGCGGCCGAUGUCUGAUUAGCUAGUUGGUGGGGUAAAGGCCUACCAAGGCGACGAUCAGUAGCUGGUCUGAGAGGACGAUCAGCCACACUGGGACGGAGACACGGCCCAGACUCCUACGGGAGGCAGCAGUGGGGAAUUUUAGACAAUGGGCGAAAGCCUGAUCCAGCAAUGCCGCGUGUGUGAAGAAGGCCUUCGGGUUGUAAAGCACUUUUGUCCGGAAAGAAAUGGCUCUGGUUAAUACCUGGGGUCGAUGACGGUACCGGAGGAAUAAGGACCGGCUAACUACGUGCCAGCCGCCGCGGUAAGAC